ensembl:lncRNA
UACUUUCAAAUGCCUGUAUACUUUAUUAAUCAUACUAUUUGCAUACAUCUGAAUUUAUUUAUUUAUGGAGUAUGCUCACUAAGUGUACAGGCACUGCUUGGUGCACAAAUGGCUUCGCCCACCCCUUGCACAGGGAAGCCCCCAGGGUCCCCAGGAGGCGCCCAGGGUCCAAGGCCCGGGGCCUAGAGCUGCUACCGAGGACGCAGAGGCGCUAGGUCCUGCCUUCUACCCUAAACGUUCCUUUAAGCCGGAUUCCCAGGGGCUGCAGGCGGCCCUUCCUGCAAGUCGCCGGGGCAUCGCAGGGCAUCUGCUGCCCCCUAUCGGUGGUGAGGCGAACAAUAACCCGAACCCAGUUAGAAUCGACUAGAAGAGGCCUCUUGAAUAAAAGAAUAUUCCAUGACUACGCAGUAGCCAGAGGACUCUCAGAGCCUGUUUUCCGCAGACAUCCAGCUCCGGCUGCCGCGUUGUAACGCAGGUGUCCGCCAGUCAAGGAGAAGAUGAUGGAUUGUGAGGAGCAAUCUGACGCUGCUUCGGCGAAGGCAGGGAGCGGCGUGGGUUGCGGGGUCCCGGAUACACCCAGGGUUCACCUUGUGUUUUCCACCCUCCCAUUCACCAGUCCACCUCGUCCUUAGGAAAAGCGUUUGCCCUCACUCGGGACGGGGAUGUUCCUUAGGGCACAGCGUGGUGUUUUCCCAAGCCCCUGAAACACCUGUCCCCUCAUAUUACACCUUGAGCAGAGUCCAGUGACCUCUGCUGCAGAGGUGACAAAGGCCACUCUCCUUGAGUAGCCGCCUCAACUGUGUCCAGGAAUGGCCUUCCAACAGCGUGUUACUUCUCUGAUCCCUUUGGUGGGAAUAUGAAUAUGCUUCAGAAAAGUCAAAUAAAUACUGAGAAGAAAACUCUCGGACACCCCCGGCUACCACUGAUGCCCGUACAGUGAAAGUUCCUGCCAGGACCGCACAGGUAAAAUUCGCCUGCCCCAGGGACACAGCCGAGGCUGCUAGCCGACUGAGAACGUGUGUGACAGUUACGUACUGAGAUAUUUCUAAUUUUAUUUUCAUUAUUUUCUCCCACCCCACUACCACUCCCCUUCCACACACACACACACACACACACUUUGCAGUGUCCUAACUUGUUCACUCUUGUCCAUAUUUGCCUUGGCCCUUUUGGGAAGAAGGCAAGAGAAAGAUGAACGAAGGUGAGUGGGGGAAGGGAGGGAGGGGAAGAGGGAGAAUCGCCUUCUACGCAAGACUUUAAGCCGGAAGACGCCCCGGCGGAGGGUCUUCAGGACGACAACGGAAAAGUCCCACUACACGCUCAGAGCGCUGGUGCUGGCGCCCCCAACUGCCGGUGGCAGCAGGAGAUCCGGGAUCCAGUUGGUCCCCUCCGAGGGUUCCGCCCGCCCGCGCUGGCGGUGGGGCCCUCCAGGGUCGCUGCGAGUCUGGGAGAGGAAGGAGGCUCCGCUGGCUCCGUUCUCCCUCCCAGCUCGCCGUGGCCAUGGCCCCGCCAAGUCUCCGCUCCCGAGCGGCCGCAGGUGCCGAGUGGCCGAUCCCCGGAGCGAGUGAAACGCGGGCCUCGCCGCCCCAUCCCGUCCCCGGCUCCAGGAGGGUCUCCGGCGGGUGGCCGCGUCCCCUCGGUCCGGCGCCCCUUCCCCGCGGCCUGUGGGCGCGGCGCGCAGGGGCGCGGGCGGGCGGCGGCUCCCGGGCGCGGGCGGAAGGCGCGGCACCGCCUCGGUCACGGCCGCCGCCGGGCUCAGGCGGAAGCCCGGGCUCCGGAGGGGCGGGGCCGCCGCGCCCGGCGAGGCCCAGGGCUCCGGGCCCCGGCGCGCCCGUCGGUGCAUCAGCGGAACCCCGGCGGCCGCCGCGCCCGCCAGGCACCGAUGGCCCCUGGUCAGCUUCAGCGCCCUCCCCGCGCGUGGUGGGGCGAGGCCGUGCCCACGCGUGUCCGUCCGGCUGCGCGUCUGUCACUUGCACACUCGGAGCCCCUCCGGCCGCGCAGGCCCCGGCUCUGGGGUUGGCGGCUCCCGCGUCUGCCACCUCCAGGACCCGGAGCCGCCAACCCCAGCCUCCCGGCGAGCCGGGACUUCCCGGAUGGGGCCAUGCUUUCCUUCCAGGACAACCAGGGCUCCUCCCCUCCCGGCGAUCUUUCUAGGAGGCCACCUCCAGAGAUUCCGAGGCGAUUUCCUCCCUGCCGGUACCAAACCGGUAACUCCUCUCACUGAAGACACCAGGGGGACUGACAAGCUGAGUGAGUGGCGAGGGACCACCACCACCGAAAAACCCAGCGUUCCACGUGCGCGGACUGUUUUGAUCGGUGGGUUAAUGGGGGAUAGAGGUCCGCUCUCUAUUUUUGAUAGCCCUGAUUUUCAAGCUUUUUACAAAGUUACGUUGUCCUGCUUUCUGCUCGGUCAACAACACAGAAAAUGGAAUAUUGCUUUUUUUGUGAUUCAGAAUCAAUUGUCAUGACAGUGACUUGGAGAUUUUCCCGGCAUCUUGUGAGAUAAAAUGGAGAUGCACACGUAGCACUCAUUACCUGUCAGCCUCUGGCCAGGCAACAGCCUCCCAAACCUGCAGAGGCACUGUUUUCUACCCAGCAUCUCCGGUUGUACUUGUGGCAGAAUUUCCUACUGCUGGAAGCUUAUGAGUGGGCAAAUACUUUCUGUACCUUCUGAGACCACGAGGGCAUGCCAAAACCAGCCACUUGAACAUUAUUCACAAUAACCAAGAUGUGGAAGCAACCCAAGUGCCCAUCGACUGAUGCAUGGGUAAGGAAGAGGUGGUGUAUAUAUACAAUGGAAUACUAUGCAGCCAUAAAAAAGACAAAACCGUCCCAUUUGCAACAACAUGGAUGGACCUUUAGGGUAUUAUGUUAAGCUAAAGACACCAGACAGAGAAAGACAAACACUGCAUGACUUCACUCACAUUUGGAAGGUAAGGAGACCAGGUCUGAGAAUAUUCUGGAGUCCUCUACAGAGGGGAGGGCAGUGAUUGGCAACUCCCAUCUCUUUGCAAACAAGAAGCCAUGUUCUCUGGAGGUUUCCCUGGAAAGGCCAAGAAAUUGUUCACUCUAGGGGAAGCCAGCUGCCAUGCCAUGAGUGUAUUCAACCAGCCCUGUGGAGAGGUCCCCAUGGUGAGGAACUGAGGCCUCCUGCCAACAGCCAUGUGAGUGCGCCAUCUUGAAAGCAGACCUUUCAGGCCCAGUCCAGCCUUCAUAUGACUACAGCCUCAGCCAACAUCUUUGCUAAAACCUGAGGAGAGACUCUGACCCAGAAUCACGUAGCUAAGCCACUUCCUGAUUCUCUGAAGCUAUAUAAGAUAAUAAAGCUUUUUGCUUUAAGUCUGUAA